rnacentral:rRNA from 1 species
UACGUAGGGGGCAAGCGUUGUCCGGAAUCAUUGGGCGUAAAGAGCGUGUAGGCGGUCCAGUAAGUCCGCUGUGAAAGUCAAGGGCUCAACCCUUGAAUGCCGGUGGAUACUGCUGGACUAGAGUCCGGAAGAGGCGAGUGGAAUUCCUGGUGUAGCGGUGAAAUGCGCAGAUAUCAGGAGGAACACCGAUGGCGAAGGCAGCUCGCUGGGACGGUACUGACGCUGAGGCACGAAAGCGUGGGGAGCAAACAGG